rnacentral:lncRNA from 1 species
GAAUUUUUUGUCUCUCUGAAGUGAGGGCUUAAGGAAUAAUGAAAACUUCUGCUCAUACUUCUCAUGAAUGCUUUUAUUUUCAAGGUCAACCAAAUGUUUUUUCAGGAAAGACUAAUGCACUUUUCUUCAAGCAAUAUACCGUAAAAUGUUUCUCCAAGAUUAUCCUGUCUCUGAGCAGAAGACAACUGGGUCUAGAUGUUUUUAUUUUCUCCUUGCUGUUGCAAAAUUAGGUUUGAGUGACUCUGGGCCCGUCAUAAUGGAUUGUUCUCUCAUGAGGAACUCAGAGCUCAACUUCUCUUGAUGAGGAGACUGAGAUGCAGAGAGUUUGGGUAUCUGGCCAAGGCUCUGACCUACCGUUUGGCAGAAUGCUGUUCUCACCUCCUUUAUAGCUUACAAACCCAUGAAACAGCUUCUCCAGGAAACUCAGGCUACUUGAAAGGUGGCAUCUCAUCUCGAGUAGCUGCUGUGAUCCCAGGGGGCCCAUCCUGAAGGCAAAGAAUGGACUUGACCAGCCCCCAGAGAGGGUCAACUCAACAGAGACAAAGCUUUGACCCAAGAACUGUGAGCUCCUUGCAUCAGGGUCCAGGAGUUGCUCAUCUGCAUACCCUCGGCAUACAGUGAGUACUCAGGAUGUAUUUGUUGAAAACAAAGUUACUGGUGACUGGCUGACUAAUCAACUGAGCGGGUGAAUGAAUGAAUGAAGGUCAGUCUCUUCUCUUAAGAAGCUCCCCAUGGGAUGGAGAAGGCAGAUGUUCGCACAGAUCAGGAAGAACACAAUGUGUGAUCGUUAGGACAGACCACUUGCUGUAGGCAGGAGUUUUGAUUGGAAGGUGAAUCCGAAGACCUCCCAGGGACCAAGAUGGUUUUAAGAGGAUCAACUUCAGAUGUUCCAGUUCCACACUGACUGAAAAAUGGCUGUGACAGUGUAGAGCCAUCGCUUUCCUCAACUCCUCAUUCACUUUGAUGAGUUUCACCUUGGGGUGUUAUGCAGGGGCGUAAAAGUCUUUAGGGC